GCUUGCUAGAUUGAUGGCGAGUGGCGAACGGGUGAGUAAUACAUUGGAACGUGCCCUGUAGUGGGGGAUAACUAGUCGAAAGAUUAGCUAAUACCGCAUACGACCUGAGGGUGAAAGUGGGGGACCGCAAGGCCUCAUGCUAUAGGAGCGGCCGAUGUCUGAUUAGCUAGUUGGUGAGGUAAAGGCUCACCAAGGCGACGAUCAGUAGCUGGUCUGAGAGGACGAUCAGCCACACUGGGACUGAGACACGGCCCAGACUCCUACGGGAGGCAGCAGUGGGGAAUUUUGGACAAUGGGGGCAACCCUGAUCCAGCAAUGCCGCGU
rnacentral:rRNA from 1 species